UUGUUAGUUGCCAUCAUUUAGUUGGGCACUCUAGCGAGACUGCCGGUGACAAACCGGAGGAAGGUGGGGAUGACGUCAAAUCAUCAUGCCCCUUAUGACCUGGGCUACACACGUGCUACAAUGGGAAGUACAACGAGUUGCGAAGUCGCGAGGCUAAGCUAAUCUCUUAAAGCUUCUCUCAGUUCGGAUUGUAGGCUGCAACUCGCCUACAUGAAGCCGGAAUCGCUAGUAAUCGCGGAUCAGCACGCCGCGGUGAAUACGUUCCCGGGCCUUGUACACACCGCCCGUCACACCACGAGAGUUUGUAACACCCGAAGUCGGUGAGGUAACCUUUUUGGAGCCAGCCGCCUAAGGUGGGAUAGAUGAUUGGGGUGAAGUCGUAACAAGGUAGCCGUA
rnacentral:rRNA from 1 species